UAACAAAUAAUGCAAAUGUAUGAGUGUAAGUGCAAGAGAACUGUCUCAUUGUAAGAAGGCCCAAGAGUAAGCCAUGUGAGGUUGAUGGCGAUGCUUAAAAAGCAAUCGACUUACAAGGGUGUGAAAAUGGGCUCGAUAUUAAAUCGAGAAAAAACAUGAUUUUUAUAGUUUUAAAAUGGUUUUUGAAUUAAAUUAGAUGACAACAACUUAACAAAAUGAACAUAUGAGUGUAAUAAAGGCAUAAACAUAAGAAUAAAUGAAAAUGCUAAAGAAAAAUAA
rnacentral:lncRNA from 1 species